GGAGCAUUAGUUCAAUGGUAGAGCAACCGCCUCAUAAGCGAUAAGUUGUAGGUUCGAGUCCCACAUGCUCCA
rnacentral:tRNA from 1 species